UACGGGGGGAGCAAGCGUUGUUCGGAUUUACUGGGCGUAAAGGGCUCGUAGGCGGCCAACUAAGUCAGACGUGAAAUCCCCAGGCUCAACCUGGGAACUGCGUCUGAUACUGGAUGGCUUGAAUCCGGGAGAGGGAUGCAGAAUUCCAGGUGUAGCGGUGAAAUGCGUAGAUAUCUGGAGGAACACCGGUGGCGAAGGCGGCAUCCUGGACCAUGACUGACGCUGAGGAGCGAAAGCCAGGGGAGCAAAGCGGG
rnacentral:rRNA from 1 species